AGGGUCGUUGAGGCGAAUACGCUG
rnacentral:siRNA from 1 species